rnacentral:rRNA from 1 species
UACGGAGGGUGCAAGCGUUGUUCGGAAUUAUUGGGCGUAAAGCGCGCGUAGGCGGUUACUUAAGUCGGAUGUGAAAGCCCUCGGCUUAACUGAGGAAGUGCACCCGAAACUGAGUAGCUAGAGUACGAAAGAGGGUCGCGGAAUUCCCGGUGUAGAGGUGAAAUUCGUAGAUAUCGGGAGGAACACCGGUGGCGAAGGCGGCGACCUGGGUCGAGACUGACGCUGAGGCGCGAAAGCGUGGGGAGCAAACAGG